UAGGCUAAAGCCCGCUGGAUUGGGUGUUUAGUUGUUAGUUAGAAUUUUACGGGAUCGAGGCCCGUUAGCCUAG
rnacentral:tRNA from 1 species